GCCCCCAUUGUCUAAUGGUUAUGACGUCAGACUUCUAUAUCACGUGGUUAAUCUGGAGGUUGCGGGUUCGAGUCCCGCUGGGGGUU